CUCAGAUUAUUAAUAGAUAUAUUCUUUAAAAUCGAAGAAUUUGGCGGUGAUUUAGACUUGUUAGAGGAACCUGUUUUUUAAUCGAUACACCACGUGAAAUCUUACUUGUUUUAUUAAGUUCGUAUACCGUCAUUAUCAGAUAAUCUUUAUAGAGUUAAUUAUUAAAAAUUAUAUUAAAUGUAAUUUAACUUAGAUCAAGGUGCGGCCGAUAAACGAGUUAAAAUGGGUUACAAUAAAUUUUAUUUAUAUGAAUUAUUACGGGAAGUAUUAAUAUGAAGGAGGAUUUAAUUGUAAUUUGGAUUUAAUAAGUUUAAAAGAUAUAAGCUCUAGAUCAU
rnacentral:rRNA from 1 species